rnacentral:rRNA from 1 species
AGAGUUUGAUCCUGGCUCAGAUUGAACGCUGGCGGCAUGCCUUACACAUGCAAGUCGAACGGCAGCAUGAUCUAGCUUGCUAGAUUGAUGGCGAGUGGCGAACGGGUGAGUAAUACAUCGGAACGUGCCCUGUAGUGGGGGAUAACUAGUCGAAAGAUUAGCUAAUACCGCAUACGACCUGAGGGUGAAAGUGGGGGACCGCAAGGCCUCAUGCUAUAGGAGCGGCCGAUGUCUGGUUAGCUAGUUGGUGGGGUAAAGGCCCACCAAGGCGACGAUCAGUAGCUGGUCUGAGAGGACGAUCAGCCACACUGGGACUGAGACACGGCCUAGACUCCUACGGGAGGCAGCAGUGGGGAAUUUUGGACAAUGGGGGCAACCCUGAUCCAGCAAUGCCGCGUGUGUGAAGAAGGCCUUCGGGUUGUAAAGCACUUUUGUCCGGAAAGAAAUCGCACUUACUAAUAUUAGGUGUGGAUGACGGUACCGGAAGAAUAAGGACCGGCUAACUACGUGCCAGCAGCCGCGGUAAUACGUAGGGUCCAAGCGUUAAUCGGAAUUACUGGGCGUAAAGCGUGCGCAGGCGGUUGUGCAAGACCGAUGUGAAAUCCCCGGGCUUAACCUGGGAAUUGCAUUGGUGACUGCACGGCUAGAGUGUGUCAGAGGGGGGUAGAAUUCCACGUGUAGCAGUGAAAUGCGUAGAGAUGUGGAGGAAUACCGAUGGCGAAGGCAGCCCCCUGGGAUAACACUGACGCUCAUGCACGAAAGCGUGGGGAGCAAACAGGAUUAGAUACCCUGGUAGUCAAGGGCGAAUUCGUUUAACCCUG